UUGGUUCGUCUUCCAAACACUUCAGAAAACAAAGAAACAAGAAAAUGGAAAAUGAUCAGAGACUUCCGACCAAUCUGAUUUCUCUAACUCCUUUAAUAGUUAUGAAAUAGGAUAAUUUCAAGUAUUGAGUUUGAUAACGUGGACGUAAUGGAGCAUUUAGAAAAGUAUAACCAUUGGGAUCCACAAGGUGAUAGAACGGGAGUCUGCCAAAAAAAUAAUAUAUGAGAAAGCUAUGGAAAAGGAAAGUGAAGGGAUUGAUUGGUAUCUUUCCUGUUAGAGACGUUGCAGAAGGGGUUGAUUGGUGUCUAUUAGUUCAGUAUUAUCUCAAGGUGUGGCAACUGUUUCUGGGAAAAGAAGCACCAAUCUCUUUUGGCAACUUCAGAUACUCAUAAAGUUAGAUGGGAAGAAUCAACCUGAAUACAAUGGCAUACUAGGAACGACCGUAGAUGGAUUCAUAUGUGCCACAUAUGGAUUUGAUGCUGGUAAAUCUAAGAAAGGAAACUUACUUGAAAGGGUUAGAUGGUGGUAUCAGAGGCAUUAUAAGGUGGUGGUUCAGAUUAUUUUUGUUAAGGAAGCGUCACUUCUGAAGGAAUCAAAUUCAGUCAUUUUCUCUUUCUCUAGAUUCAUCGUAGACCCAAAAUAUGUGGGUUGUGUAUAUAAAUGAUAUUGCUGAUAACUACUUCACUGACUAUUUCAAAGGAUAAUCUUGGUCAUCCAAGAAUCUAUCUUAUUUAUCACGGUAUUUUUAGAGAAAUAAGCCCUUGCGGCGAAAUGGGCUCAAAAAGCAGUGUUUUACA